GCGGCGUGCCUAAUACAUGCAAGUCGAACGAGUUCUGAUUAUUGAAAGGUGCUUGCAUCUUGAUUUAAUUUUGAACGAGUGGCGGACGGGUGAGUAACACGUGGGUAACCUGCCCUUAAGUGGGGGAUAACAUUUGGAAACAGAUGCUAAUACCGCAUAAAUCCAAGAACCGCAUGGUUCUUGGCUGAAAGAUGGCGUAAGCUAUCGCUUUUGGAUGGACCCGCGGCGUAUUAGCUAGUUGGUGAGGUAACGGCUCACCAAGGCAAUGAUACGUAGCCGAACUGAGAGGUUGAUCGGCCACAUUGGGACUGAGACACGGCCCAAACUCCUACGGGAGGCAGCAGUAGGGAAUCUUCCACAAUGGACGCAAGUCUGAUGGAGCAACGCCGCGUGAGUGAAGAAGGCUUUCGGGUCGUAAAACUCUGUUGUUGGAGAAGAAUGGUCGGCAGAGUAACUGUUGUCGGCGUGACGGUAUCCAACCAGAAAGCCACGGCUAACUACGUGCCAGCAGCCGCGGUAAUACGUAGGUGGCAAGCGUUAUCCGGAUUUAUUGGGCGUAAAGCGAGCGCAGGCGGUUUUUUAAGUCUGAUGUGAAAGCCCUCGGCUUAACCGAGGAAGUGCAUCGGAAACUGGGAAACUUGAGUGCAGAAGAGGACAGUGGAACUCCAUGUGUAGCGGUGAAAUGCGUAGAUAUAUGGAAGAACACCAGUGGCGAAGGCGGCUGUCUGGUCUGUAACUGACGCUGAGGCUCGAAAGCAUGGGUAGCGAACAGGAUUAGAUACCCUGGUAGUCCAUGCCGUAAACGAUGAAUGCUAGGUGUUGGAGGGUUUCCGCCCUUCAGUGCCGCAGCUAACGCAUUAAGCAUUCCGCCUGGGGAGUACGACCGCAAGGUUGAAACUCAAAGGAAUUGACGGGGGCCCGCACAAGCGGUGGAGCAUGUGGUUUAAUUCGAAGCAACGCGAAGAACCUUACCAGGUCUUGACAUCUUUUGAUCACCUGAGAGAUCAGGUUUCCCCUUCGGGGGCAAAAUGACAGGUGGUGCAUGGUUGUCGUCAGCUCGUGUCGUGAGAUGUUGGGUUAAGUCCCGCAACGAGCGCAACCCUUAUGACUAGUUGCCAGCAUUUAGUUGGGCACUCUAGUAAGACUGCCGGUGACAAACCGGAGGAAGGUGGGGAUGACGUCAAAUCAUCAUGCCCCUUAUGACCUGGGCUACACACGUGCUACAAUGGAUGGUACAACGAGUUGCGAGACCGCGAGGUCAAGCUAAUCUCUUAAAGCCAUUCUCAGUUCGGACUGUAGGCUGCAACUCGCCUACACGAAGUCGGAAUCGCUAGUAAUCGCGGAUCAGCACGCCGCGGUGAAUACGUUCCCGGGCCUUGUACACACCGCCCGUCACACCAUGAGAGUUUGUAACACCCGAAGCCGGUGGCGUAACCCUUUUAGGGAGCGAGCCGUCUAAGGUGGGACAAAUGAUUAGGGUGAAGUCAUAACAA
rnacentral:rRNA from 1 species